GGGGGCGACCUGGUUUCGACGGGGACAGCUGCAGGCGAUGUUGCGAGCCGAGGGUGUCGUUGGCCUCGUAAAAAAACGGCAAAGCCUUUAACUGGCAACCAGAACAACCUUCGUCUCGCUGCUUAAGUGAGGCAGCAACCGUGAAGCCCGGCCAUUGGCGUCACGCAAGCUAACGAAAAGAUGGCUAGCACGGGCAGAUGUCUCUAAGCUCGCGCGAAAAUAAGAGACUGGGUCUGAACGUAGCCUGUCCGUAGGCGACCGAGGGCCGAGAUCCAAAGUACGGACUACGCUCGUAGAGGCACGCUGAAUGGGUUUUCGGACGAGAGUUCGACUCUCUCCGCCUCCACCA
rnacentral:tmRNA from 1 species